CACUCCCGCCGGUGGCCGAGGCCGCGGCAGUGGCGGCGGCGGCCGUGGUCAGAUCUUUACUCCCGGCCAGUUCUCCUUCGCUGCCGACACACCCGCUGCAGACGAGGAGAAACGUCAAUCCGCCAAGACUGAACAACCGCCGGUGGCUGGACUAGGUCACGGCCGCGGCAAACCUCUUCCGGAGUUCUCUUCCUUCAUCUCUACCCUAAAACGCACGGCCGAUCC
rnacentral:lncRNA from 1 species